rnacentral:rRNA from 1 species
AGAGUUUGAUCCUGGCUCAGGACGAACGCUGGCGGCGUGCUUAACACAUGCAAGUCGAACGGGGUCCAACCAGUGGCAACACUGGGGAAGACCAAGUGGCGAACGGGUGAGUAACACGUGAGCAACCUGCCCCGAAGACUGGGAUAACGACCGGAAACGGUCGCUAAUACCGGAUGCCCUCACCGGGCCGCAUGACCUGGUGAGGAAAUGAAUUUCGCUUCGGGAGGGGCUCGCGGGCUAUCAGCUUGUUGGUGGGGUAACGGCCCACCAAGGCUUCGACGGCUAGCUGGUCUGAGAGGACGAUCAGCCACACUGGGACUGAGACACGGCCCAGACUCCUACGGGAGGCAGCAGUGGGGAAUCUUGCGCAAUGGGCGAAAGCCUGACGCAGCAACGCCGCGUGGGGGAUGAAGGCUCUCGGGUUGUAAACCCCUUUCAGCAGGGACGAAAUUGACGGUACCUGCAGAAGAAGCCCCGGCCAACUACGUGCCAGCAGCCGCGGUAACACGUAGGGGGCGAGCGUUGUCCGGAUUUAUUGGGCGUAAAGAGCUCGUAGGCGGCUUGAUAAGUCGAUUGUGAAAACUCCAGGCUCAACUUGGAGACGCCAGUCGAUACUGUCAUGGCUUGAGUCCGGUAGGGGAUCACGGAAUUCCUGGUGUAGCGGUGAAAUGCACAGAUAUCAGGAGGAACACCGGUGGCGAAGGCGGUGAUCUGGGCCGGAACUGACGCUGAGGAGCGAAAGCGUGGGGAGCAAACAGGAUUAGAUACCCUAGUAGUCC